rnacentral:rRNA from 1 species
AAAGAUUAAGCCAUGCAUGUCUAAGUAUAAACGAUCUAAUCGUGAAACCGCGAAUGGCUCAUUAUAACAGCUAUAAUUUACUUGAUCUUGACACUAUCCUACUUGGAUAACUGUGGUAAUUCUAGAGCUAAUACAUGCAUUAAAGCUCUGACCUCACGGGAAGAGUGCACUUAUUAGAACAAAACCAAGCGGCUUCGGCUGUUUUCGGUUGACUCAUAGUAACUGAGCUGAUCGCACGGUCUUGCACCGGCGACGUGUCUUUCAAGUAUCUGCCGUAUCAACUUUCGAUGGUAGUGUAUCUGACUACCAUGGUGAUCACGCGUAACGGAGAAUAAGGGUUCGGCUCCGGAGAGUUCGCCUGAGAAAUCGCGAACACAUCUAAGGAAGGCAGCAGGCGCGAAAAUUACCCACUCUCAGCACGAGGAGGUAGUGAUGAAAAAUAACGAGACCGUUCUCUUAUGAGGCCGGUCAUCGGAAUGGGUACAAUUUAAACCCUUUAACGAGUAUCUAUGAGAGGGCAAGUCUGGUGCCAGCAGCCGCGGUAAUUCCAGCUCUCAAAGUG